UGAAUUAGUGGUGUACUUAAAGAAGCUAUAGUAUAAGAGUAUAAUAUUUCUAUUGAUCAUCCAAAAUGUUCAUAUAUAAGUAUAAAUAGGUUUCAUAUCUAGUUUUUAAAUGACUUUAUUAUAUACAUAUAUAUAGUCCUCUUAGAUUAAAUUAGUGGCAUAUUUGAGUUUUUGUCAUAGAGAUGGACGAUAGUGGAUUCAAUAAAUGCGAUUGCCUCACUAUUCACUAAAAAAUUAAAUGUUGUAUAAUUAUUAUAAAAUGUUGAAUUAACAUUUAAUAUAGUAGAGGCUUAUACAAAUUUAUAUACUUCUAAGUAUUUUCAAAAAACAAAAACGAUUGUAGCGUUUUAUCAAUUUAUUUCCCGGAUAUUGCUAGCAAUGGUACCCUAUAUUCUGACUACAAUAAACAAAAUAAUAAAAACAUUCUGGAUUUGUGCGCUAAAAAUAUAGACGCUAUAGAUUUAUGGGCGAUUGUAAGCUCCGCUUGGCAUUGCCAGAGAGACUUAUGAUUAUUCGAGCAGUAUAUUAUCAGAUAAACAAUCGAUGUCCUGUGGUGGAUUGCAAACCCCACGAGAUGACGUGUACGUAAGCUUUAAAUUUCUAACCUUAAACUUUCAGUUAUAUCAGUUAUAUCAAUUUUUUUUACUACAGUGGAUAAGAUAUAAUAAUGUGACAUUCUCGUGGUUUUUAUAUAGUUAGUGUAACAACCCGACUUAUUUUAUUAUUAUUUAUUUUAGUUUUUUUUUAUAUAAUUGGUGCAGCAACCUGGCUUAUUUUAAACUUAUUAUUACCGAUUUAAACCCCUUUAAAGUUAAAAUGUUGAAAAUCAGGUAUCUUGGUGACACUGAAGAAGAUAUUUAGAACAAUUCUGUGAAAAAAAAAUUUGGAAAAUGUUAAAUUGCAUCGUCACAAAAUGAGUACAUAACAAAGGCCUGUUCUUUUAUGUAAUAUAUUUGUUAUUUGAAGAAAAAUGUAGGUAAAAAAAAAUAUGUAGAUAAGUUUGAUGGUUUGAAAGUCAUAUCUAUGGAUUUUUCAUCGUCGUGUCAAAAACGGGCUUUUAUGUGUAACACAAAAAAAUCAAUUUUUCAUUUCAAUUCAAUUCAAAAAAAAAAAAUUGGUUUAUCAUCAAAAGUAUUUGCCUUGACAAUAGAUAAAGUUGAAUUCAAUAAAGAUGUCUUAGAUUUUACAUUUAAUGAACCAAUAAUUUAUAUAGUGAGAUGGCGCAUUCAAGUAAAAUGCAUCAAAUGGCGAAAAAAAUACAGUAAUCACCAUUGAGUGUGUACAAGUAUAUAUUUUAAAUCUAUAGUAUUGUCAUGAGUUAUAUUCAACAUUACACUCUUUAAUUUAUUUCAAUGGAACUAUUGGAACUAUUAUCAAUAAUACAAAUACAUUUUCCAGUGCUACAGACUACUACGAUUAAAUAUCGAUGGCGCUAACAUCAAUGCUACUAUACCUAAACACAUUAAGUCUUUGAAUGACGUAGAUAUGGAAAAAAUGUUCAAUCAUUUGGAAUAAAAAGUCGUGUAUAAAUCGUGUAUUAAGUGUACAUUUCGUCUUCCUGCCGUUUAAGGUAAGGACAGUUGCCCGUUAGAUAUACUCACAGAUCCAGCGAUCAGACGUGCCACGUAUAGCAGCCAGACGUUGGUCGAGAUAUAUAUCAUCGUCAUGUGUUUGUUGUCCAGAAUGAAUAAACACAGGAUUCCUAGUAGCCGUUGAAUAAACGAAUAUGAAGCUGAAGACCAUGUCUUUACUUUUUGAAAAAAAUUCAUUUUGAAUAAAUCAAGCACUAUUGAAAUAGCACCUUCAAACAAAUACAAUUUUUGAUUUAAUUUAUAAAAGUAUAAAUUUAAAUAAUACAUUUUAGUAAUUAUUUCUGUGUAAAUGAAUAACGUAAUAAACCAUUUAACUAGAC